rnacentral:rRNA from 1 species
GGGGAAUAUUGCACAAUGGAGGAAACUCUGAUGCAGCGAUGCCGCGUGAGGGAAGAAGGUUUUAGGAUUGUAAACCUCUGUCUUCAGGGACGAAAAAAGGACGGUACCCGAGGAGGAAGCUCCGGCUAACUACGUGCCAGCAGCCGCGGUAAUACGUAGGGAGCGAGCGUUGUCCGGAAUUACUGGGUGUAAAGGGAGCGUAGGCGGGAUCGCAAGUCAGAUGUGAAAACUAUGGGCUUAACCCAUAAACUGCAUUUGAAACUGUGGUUCUUGAGUGAAGUAGAGGUAAGCGGAAUUCCUAGUGUAGCGGUGAAAUGCGUAGAUAUUAGGAGGAACAUCAGUGGCGAAGGCGGCUUACUGGGCUUUAACUGACGCUGAGGCUCGAAAGCGUGGGGAGCAAACAGGAUUAGAUACCCUGGUAGUCCACGCCGUAAACGAUGAUUACUAGGUGUGGGGGGACUGACCCCUUCCGUGCCGCAGCAAACGCAAUAAGUAAUCCACCUGGGGAGUACGACCGCAAGGUUGAAACUCAAAGGAAUUGACGGGGGCCCGCACAAGCAGUGGAGUAUGUGGAUUAAUUCGAAGCAACGCGAAGAACCUUACCAGGUCUUGACAUCGUAUGCAUAGCUCAGAGAUGAGUGAAAUCUCUUCGGAGACAUAUAGACAGGUGGUGCAUGGUUGUCGUCAGCUCGUGUCGUGAGAUGUUGGGUUAAGUCCCGCAACGAGCGCAACCCUUACUGUUAGUUGCUACGCAAGAGCACUCUAGCAGGACUGCCGUUGACAAAACGGAGGAAGGUGGGGAUGACGUCAAAUCAUCAUGCCCCUUAUGACCUGGGCCUCACACGUACUACAAUGGCUGUAAACAGAGGGAAGCAAAGCCGCGAGGUAGAGCGAACCCCUAAAAGCAGUCUUAGUUCGGAUUGUAGGCUGCAACCCGCCUACAUGAAGUCGGAAUUGCUAGUAAUCGCAGAUCAGCAUGCUGCGGUGAAUACGUUCCCG